UGUGGGUCUCUCUGAUGACGUGAACUGUGAACCCGGUCAGGUUCGGAAGGAAGCAGCCGCAGCAGUAAUCAUGGGUGUCAGAAUCAGGCGCAUAUGA
rnacentral:SRP_RNA from 1 species